ensembl:lncRNA
CCAAGCAGCUUAAUGACUGACUGGUUCUUUAUACUCCGGACCUCGUCCCGGAGCAGAGGACAGACCUAAGGCCUACAGCGCAGCAGACUAGAGACUCUCUGUGGAACCGGUUCAAUAAAGUUGACCUCUCCUUCAGGUGACUUAAAGGGAGACCAGAUGUGCGGCAGCUGGGUGUCAUGGUGCAGAGACCCAACGCUGCACUGAACUACACCAGUGUGUCCUACUCCCCAUAAACCCUGAGGAUCCCUGGCUACACCAGCACAUUAAUCCACACCCAACAUUAACACACAGUGCACACUCUAUAGAGCUUGUAAGUCCGCCCCUUGCGGCGGGACCUCGUGAGAUCGGAGCGGCUAGAGGGACGAGCCUGGAAGCAAACCUGAGCCUGGAUCUUAACCUUCUUUCUAAACCUAAUGCCGCAAUUUAACCGCAAAUAAAGUGAGGCCUAAAGUAACUUGACUCUCUUAC